UACUUCAUGAAGGUUUCCUUGUGAUUUUGGCUACAAGGACCCUUCAUGAUAAGC
rnacentral:pre_miRNA from 1 species